GAGGGCGGCUACCAUGCAAGUCGAGCGAGGACUUCGGUUCUAGCGGCGGACGGGUGAGUAACGCGUGGGAAUGUGCCCUUCUCUACGGAAUAGCCCUGGGAAACUGGGAGUAAUACCGUAUACGCCCUAUUGGGGAAAGAUUUAUCGGAGAAGGAUCAGCCCGCGUUGGAUUAGGUAGUUGGUGGGGUAAUGGCCUACCAAGCCGACGAUCCAUAGCUGGUUUGAGAGGAUGAUCAGCCACACUGGGACUGAGACACGGCCCAGACUCCUACGGGAGGCAGCAGUGGGGAAUCUUAGACAAUGGGGGCAACCCUGAUCUAGCCAUGCCGCGUGAGUGAUGAAGGCCUUAGGGUUGUAAAGCUCUUUCAGCUGGGAAGAUAAUGACGGUACCAGCAGAAGAAGCCCCGGCUAACUCCGUGCCAGCAGCCGGGGGUAAUACAAA
rnacentral:rRNA from 1 species